AUGGGAACGCGAAGAACCUUACCUACUCUUGACAUCCAGAGAACUUAGCAGAGAUGCUUUGGUGCCUUCGGGAACUCUGAGACAGGUGCUGCAUGGCUGUCGUCAGCUCGUGUUGUGAAAUGUUGGGUUAAGUCCCGCAACGAGCGCAACCCUUAUCCUUUGUUGCCAGCAGUCCGGCCGGGAACUCAAAGGAGACUGCCAGUGAUAAACUGGAGGAAGGUGGGGAUGACGUCAAGUCAUCAUGGCCCUUACGAGUAGGGCUACACACGUGCUACAAUGGCGCAUACAAAGAGAAGCGACCUCGCGAGAGCAAGCGGACCUCAUAAAGUGCGUCGUAGUCCGGAUUGGAGUCUGCAACUCGACUCCAUGAAGUCGGAAUCGCUAGUAAUCGUAGAUCAGAAUGCUACGGUGAAUACGUUCCCGGGUCUU
rnacentral:rRNA from 1 species